rnacentral:rRNA from 1 species
CGGGGCGCUACCAUGCAGUCGAGCGCACUCUUCGGAGUGAGCGGCGGACGGGUUAGUAACGCGUGGGAACGUGCCCUUCUCUAAGGAAUAGCCACUGGAAACGGUGAGUAAUACCUUAUACGCCCUUCGGGGGAAAGAUUUAUCGGAGAAGGAUCGGCCCGCGUUAGAUUAGAUAGUUGGUGGGGUAAUGGCCUACCAAGUCUACGAUCUAUAGCUGGUUUUAGAGGAUGAUCAGCAACACUGGGACUGAGACACGGCCCAGACUCCUACGGGAGGCAGCAGUGGGGAAUCUUGGACAAUGGGCGCAAGCCUGAUCCAGCCAUGCCGCGUGAGUGAUGAAGGCCUUAGGGUCGUAAAGCUCUUUCGCCAGAGAUGAUAAUGACAGUAUCUGGUAAAGAAACCCCGGCUAACUCCGUGCCAGCAGCCGCGGUAAUACGGAGGGGGUUAGCGUUGUUCGGAAUUACUGGGCGUAAAGCGCACGUAGGCGGAUCAGAAAGUAUAGGGUGAAAUCCCAGGGCUCAACCCUGGAACUGCCUUGUAAACUCCUGGUCUUGAGUUCGAGAGAGGUGAGUGGAAUUCCGAGUGUAGAGGUGAAAUUCGUAGAUAUUCGGAGGAACACCAGUGGCGAAGGCGGCUCACUGGCUCGAUACUGACGCUGAGGUGCGAAAGUGUGGGGAGCAAACAGGAUUAGAUACCCUGGUAGUC